rnacentral:antisense_RNA from 1 species
CCAGACUUGGAACACUAGGAACACAGACAGACAUAGGAAUUGCUUAAAAACAAGAAGUUCUCCCACCCUUGUUGGAGCGAACGCGCGAGUCUGACAGUGAACCUUUUGGGAAAGAGCCAGCAUUGUAACCAUGCUCGGUGACUUCUCUGGCUUUAUAGGGAACAGAUGUGAUGAUAGCAAGGGGCGCACACGUGAAAUGCCUGGCAGGUACCACUUCGUGGCUCUACUUACUUCUUGCCAUUCCUCUGCCCUCCAAGUGUAGACGGGACACCGUGGGCCUUGGCAGUCACGUUCCGACUCCGGUCUGGUGUACGGGUUGCACUCGGUCUCUCUGGCUAUUUUGUGUGUUCCGAUCUGACAGCCCACAUGCCUCUGCUGUACGCCUCGGCCACAGGACACAGAGCACUAAGAAGACAGAGGACAUUCACGGUCUGGUGAGACAAGUUUGAGAUCUCAUAUUUUCAGCUCACCCUUGAAAACCUUUCUUGGAUUUGACUGACCUUGAUGGCUCCCUGGAAUUUCACCUACAUUUUAUGGGAACUUCAACUCUCCAGAGAGAAGAGCUUUCAGAUAGCUACAGGACUUGCAACUAUGACUUUUAGCUUUCACUUUUGAAUGAGGCUCCAAAUGUCUCAAUGGUGGCGCUAUUUCCAGAUUUGGGGUAAGCCAAUUCUUUGUUGUUGGGGUUGUGCUGUGCAUUGUAGACUAUUAAGCAGCAUUCCUGGCCUCUACCCACUAGAUGCCCAUAGCACCUGUAUCCCCAUCGUAACAACCAAAACUGUCUCCAGACAUUGCCAAAUGUCCACCGCAGGCUAAAAUCACCUCCUGAUUGAGAACUAUUGAAUUAUACUAAGGUUCUCAGAGAGUCCUUCAGCAAGUUCUCAAAACUG